rnacentral:lncRNA from 1 species
UCGCGCAUCUGGAGACCGCUCAGGAGGGAGAAAUUGGCAUCGUGCUCCACCGUGAGGUCGUAGACAUGGUCGCGUCCGUGGUCGGCGACGAUGUCGAGUUGAACGAUUUCGUCCCAAAACACGUCGCCCGUCGCAUCGUCGCCAUCGCUGGCGGUGGCCUCGGGCGCUGUGCCGGCACCGUGGGCGUGUGGAGCCGGACCGAUCGUUACUGUCUUGUCGUUUGCAGCGACCAACACCCCGUCGCCGGUCAGGGCCGCCAGCGCCAUGAGCGUGUCGAGAUCAUCGGCAUCCAGUGAGCAUGCUGCCAAGGACGACGACGACGGCAGGGGCGUGUCGACCGCGACUGCGACCUCUGUGGACAUCGUCUCGCCAAAUACCAGGUUGAGAUGGCGUCGGGCCGCGUGGCGGUCGCGACUGGCCAGCGCCUCCCAUGCCGACGAUCGCUUGGCGAUCGCGCGUGUUUGUCUCGGCUCAAACAGGGACGGCGUUUGCGGGGUCUUUGCCACCUGCGCAGGACACGGCCACAGCGGCAGACGCCGGUUGACGGGGAGCACGUCGCCGACGCGCAGGUCCUUGCCGUCGAUGGGCGUCACGCGGCCGUCGCGCAACGUGAGAAACGAUUUGGCGAGCGUGGCCGUCACGGUGCGGCCAGACAACGUGCGCACGCGCACCAGGGCACCGUUGGGUGGAUGACGCGUGACGCCCAGGAGCCGCCUCCACCGCACAACUCCGUCGGCGUCGACGGCCGGCACUGUGAGCGCAUGGUGCGACACGUCGACGUGCACCGUGUCGUGGACCGCGUCGCGUUCAAUAAGCGGUUCGGCAGAAGCGGCAACGGCGUUCUCGACGAGGUCGCCAAUCUGUACCUGGCAAGCACCACCAGGUCCGGCGACGAGCAGUCGCUCCUCGUAGACGACCGACAUUUGCGUGCCGGGCUCGCCGAUGGAUUGGCCGGCGAUGGCCCCGACCAUCUCGCCAGGCGACACCAGACUGCGCACGUAGCGCCCGGCACGGCGUUCGUCGCCGGCGAUCUCGGCCCAGAUGGCCUCCCACGUGGUCCACGUGGCGCGCCAACGGUGCACGAUCACGCGCGAUCUCAGUUCGCACGCCAGAACGAGACGCAACCCGGCCGUCCCGCGGAGAGGCGGCAAUCCGGCGGCUUUGGCGGCCGCCGCCACCGAUGCGCCCACGUCGGCCUCGGCCGCCAUGGCCAAGAUGGCGCGACACAGGGCAUCCACCUGUGCGUUGAGUGCCAAAGGCGAGAUGGGUCCACGCGCGCAGGGGCGACCGGCCUCGCGACGGCACACUGUCUCGACGAGGCGUGCAGCGUGGAUGGCGACAAAGAGUUGAUCGUCGUCGCCGCCGCCGGCACCGUUGGCCAACGAGGACUUCAUGGCCAACACCUCGUCGCGAAGGGCAAUGAUCCGUUCGGCCUCGGCGGCAGCGGCGGCGUCGAUCUCGGACUGAUCCCAUACGGGCGAUUGCAGUUGCUCCGCGGACGCGCGGUUCGCGCUGGCGUCACCGUUGCCGGUGUUGGUACUGCUACGGUUGGUGCCGUGUUUGCGAGCAGCAGUCCAUCGGCACGCCGCACGGAUGGCGUCGGCCGUCAUGCACACCUCUCGGCAACGCACGCGCUCGAUAUAUGUGGCGUCGAUGCCGUCGCCGCCAUAGGCAAACUGGACGAUCUCGCCGUUGGCGUUGCGCACGAGGCCGCCGCGCUUGACCUGCAGGCUCUCCAUCGACUUGAUGCAGCGCCGUUGGAUGUAGCCGGUCUCGGCCGUCUUGACCGCCGUGUCGACGAGUCCCUCGCGGCCGCCGAUCAUGUGGAGGAACAUCUCGCGCUGGUUGAGGCCGCGCUCGUAGGAAUUGCGCACAAAGCCGCGGCUCUCGGGCGGCGGCACGGCCUCGGCGUGGCGAUAGCACGACAGCGUGCGCGAUCCGGCUUCCGAAUGGAUGCGCUGGCCUUCAUUGCUCUGCUGUCCCACGCCGCCGCACAUCUGCGCGAUGUUGAACACGGUGCCCUUGGAGCCCAUCAUGGCCAUGGCGCACACGGCGUUGCUGCGCGCGUCCGUCGAGGCCUGCACGAUGCGUCCCACCUGGUCGAGCACCUUGUUGGCCACGCGCGACACACACGCCUCAAGUUCGGGCUCGGCAAUGUGGGCGCGCUUGCGUGGCGGCGGUCGCAACUCUGGAUCGGGCGCCUCCGCGCCGCUGCCACCGUAAUCAUCGCCACCACCGUCACCACCAUCAGUGGAGGGAUCGUCCUCAUCGGCGCUUGUCGACGACGCGCUGCGGCGACGGCGACGUCGGAGCCCGUGAGAGGCCUCGCGAGUUGUCACACUGUCUCCACUAUCAUCACCUCCAUCGUCAACAAUGGACGGCACGUCACGAUGAUCGACUUGGGCUACAAAUUGCGAUACACGAUCGAUAUGGGCCAUGGCGCGAUCGACGACGUGGCUGACACGGGCGCGCGUUGCCGGAUCGGGCAUGCAGUCCUGGAUGCCGACGCUAAAGCCACGCCACGAGAGCCAGCGGUUGGCGACGCGCUGGGCGUCGCUGAGGAAGCGCUUGACGCCUUCGGUGCUCACGUCCUUGAAGAUGACGUGCACAAAGCCGCCCGUCGUGGCGCCCGCCGUUUGUUUGCACACCGAACCGGCCAACAGUUCGCCCGAUUGCACGACGACGACGCGCUCGUCGCGCACGCGUCGCGCCACAUAGGGGUUGGCCACGUGACCGACCACGUCGCCCGAUGGCCACGCGCGCUCGGGAUGGAGCAUGGCGUCGGCGUCAGAAUCCACGUCGCGCACGCGGCGCUCAAAGUUGACGUCGGCCGGCAGGAGGAGCGAAAACAUCUGCUUACCGGUCCACAGCGGUCCGGUGACGCGUCCCGAAGCGCGGUCCACACAGCGCACGAUGGCCGGCGGCGGCAGGCGGAAACGCGAUCCGCGCCCGACGGCGUCGUACUUCAUGGCCGUGACCAGCUGCAUGAUGACGGGCCGCGUGAGAAAGACGUCGUUGGCCGUGAGGAAGCCGCACCCGACCAGGGCGUCCAUGACGAGGCCGAUGAUGGCCUUGUUGGCCUGCGGCGACACGGCCUUUUCCGGCACGCUCAUGAUGUGCGCCACCUCGGCGCGCGCACGGUCCGACUGAGGCGCGUGCAGGUUCAUCUCGUCGCCGUCGAAAUCGGCGUUGUAGGGCGACGUGACCGACAGGUUGAGGCGCAUCGUGCGGCCGGGCAUGGGCACCACGUAGUGAUUCAUCAUGGAACCCAUAUGGAGCGACGGCUGGCGGUUCAUGAUCACCGGAUCGCCGUCGCGCAGGUGGCGCUCGACGACCCAGCCCACCUGCAGCGGCGGCGCCCGGUCGGCCCCGGUCGCGCUACCCCGCGGCGGCACGCGCCACGCGGCCCCGCUCGCCGCCCCGCCGGCGGUCGAAUGCGUGCCCGCGCCCGUCGCCAUGGUGGACACCAGCGCGGCGGCGGCGUGGCCAGGGGGCGGCGCGCGCGGCUCGAGAUAGAGCGUGCGCGAUCGAUGGUCGGUGACGGUCUUGGCGCCACCGAGCGCGUCCGGACCGGAGCGCACCCGCCGCGUGAGGUCGUCGAUGUUGAACGAUGUGACGCGCUCGGGAAAGGUCAGGGUCUUGACGAUCUCGUAGGGCACGCCCACCUGGUCAAUGUCGAUCUCGGGAUCGGGGGUGAUGACGGCGCGCGCGGUAAAGUUGACGCGCUUGCCCAUGAGCGACCCGCGCACGCGACCCUCCUUGCCCUUGAACCGCUCGACCAGGCCCUUGGUGGGCUUGCCCGACCGUUGGGUCGACUGCUUUUGCCCGCGGAUGUCGUUGUUGUGAUAGGUGGCCACCUCGACCUGAAGCGCCGCCACGAGAUCGGCCAACGGCGUCGCCAAGACCUUGGCCGUUGGACCCGACGACGUCGUUGUCGUCGACGUCGACGCCAAAGACGAGCCUGACGGGUUGGCCGCCGACGCGCGCCGAUGCGCGCCAAUGGCGUUGUUGGCCUGCACGAUGGCCUUUAGCUUGUGCGUGAGGUCGUCCUGGCCGCGCGACCGCGAGCCUUCGGUCUCGGUGAUGGACGGCCGCACGAUGGGCGGCGGCACGGGGAGCACGGUGAUGAUCAUCCACGACGGGUGCGAGUUGGUCGUGUCCCAGCCCAUGCGCACAUAGUCUUCGGCGGGCACCAGAGUGAGGAUGUUGUGGGCCUCGCGCGCGCUAAACGGCUCUGCGAGUGCGGCCGCACGGUCCGCGUCGGUCUCGAAAGCCACGCCCGCCCAAUUGGCACGGAUGACGAGUGGGCUACUCUUGGCCUUUGAAUACUCGGGCUGCGGACCAGCGCAGUUCCAGCAGGCCUUGCGUGCCUUGCCGCGCUUGACGGCCUCGCACGCCGCCGCCAGGCGCGCCUUGCCCAGGGCCGCACGACCGCCGCCCGUUGCCGUUGCGUGUGCGGCAUCGCGCUCACAGCUGCCGCCGGGCUCACCCGAUGCUGGCGCCUGCGGCCACGGUGGCGCCAUGAGGAAGCGGCUGCAAUAGUAGCACACGCAGCGAAGCACCUUGAGCACAUAGUCGAUAUAGUGCACAUGGUAGACCGGAUGGUUGAGUUCGAUGCUGCCGAUGUGACCCGGACACGAGUCGACCAUGUGGCCGCACGUACCGCACGCCAGACGCCGCACGACGACGCCCAUCCGGUGAUCGUACACGCCGUCCUUUUUGGGCGUGUUUUUGUCGUAGAUGGCCGGCUCGGUGAUCUUGACCACGGACAUGCGGCGCACAAUCUCGGGAUCGACGAGGGUGAGUUGCACGCCGCGCACGCGCGCGCCGUCGUCCUCUUGGCACGUGUAGAUGACCGGCGAUGUCAUUCUCUGUGGUGUUUCUUUUUUUUUCCCCUGUGUUGUUUUGUCGUUGCUGUUGAUGGCGUGCCGCUCGCGGGUUUUGUGUGUGUGUGUGUGUGUGUGCGCUCUUUCCGUCAGAGGGAAUGCGCGGUUUGGCGUCGGAUGUGGUGGGUGCUCUUUGCGCAAGAAAAAAAAAGAAGAGCCAACAAAGACAGCGGACAAACACGCUCCGGCGCGUUCUUUUCCGCCCUCUCUCUCUCGAAUGCGCUCUGCGCGGGGCUCGGCGCGGCACAAAGAUAGAGAGACAGACCACACACAGAGAGAGAGAGAGUUUGGCAGCCGACAAAGAAUCCGACCGAGAAGGCCGAUUGGCGAUUUUGUGUGUGUGUGUGUGUGUGUUUGCGUAUGCAAAACCGAGACUCGACGCACGGUACGAGCGAUGCGCCCGAGGCACAAACAACUACCAAGUCGUAAACUCUCGCGAGCGAGUUGACCAAACACGCACACUCGACGCAGACACGUUGCACGGAUCCGCACGUGCGCACGUUCCUCUGGCAACGAAUCGUGGCGCGUCAGCUUCGCGGCGCGACAAGAGAGGCCGUCCCUCGCCACCGCGUGACCCCUCGUCCCCCUUCAAAAAAAUGAAUGGUUUUUGCGUGCCUUGGAAAAAGACCCAAAGACGGAAUCAAUAAAAAGCAUGCCCUCAUGAGCGGGA